rnacentral:rRNA from 1 species
GCCUGGCUAAACUACCGUGCCAGCAGCCGCGGUAAUACGUAGGGGCGCAAGCGUUGUCCCGGAAUUAUUGGGCGUAAAAGAGCUCGUAGGGCGGCUUGUCACGUCGGAUGUGAAAGCCCCGGGGGCUUAACCCCCCGGGGUCUGCAUUCGAUACGGGCUAGCUAGAGUGUGGUAGGGGGAGAUCGGAAUUCCUGGUGUAGCGGUGAAAUGCCGCAGAUAUCAGGAGGAACACCGGUGGCGAAGGCGGAUCUCUGGGCCAUUACUGACGCUGAGGAGCGAAAGCGUGGGGAGCGAACAGGAUUAGAUACCCUGGUAGUCCACGCCGUAAACGUUGGGAACUAGGUGUUGGCGACAUUCCACGUCGUCGGUCCCGCAGCUCACGCAUUAAGUUCCCCGCCUGGGGAGUACGGCCGCAAGGCUAAAACUCAAAGGAAUUGACGGGGGCCCGCACAAGCAGCGGAGCAUGUGGCUUAAUUGGACGCAACGCGAAGAACCUUACCAAGGCUUGACAUAUCCCGGAAAGCAUCAGAGAUGGUGCCCCCCUUGUGGUCGGUAUACAGGUGGUGCAUGGCUGUCGUCAGCUCGUGUCGUGAGAUGUUGGGUUAAGUCCCGCAACGAGCGCAACCCUUGUUCUGUGUUGCCAGCAUGCCCUUCGGGGUGAUGGGGACUCACAGGAGACUGCCGGGGUCAACUCGGAGGAAGGUGGGGACGACGUCAAGUCAUCAUGCCCCCUAUGUCUUGGGCUGCACACUUGCUACAAUGGCCGGUCCAAUGAGCUUCGAUGCCGGGAGGCGGAGCGAAUCUCAAAAAGCCCGUUUCACCUCCGACAGGGGUAUACACCUCGGCCCCAUCAAUUCGGACUGGAUAGUAAUCCCCGAUCCCCAGCAGGACAGAGUGUUAUUCGGUAUUCGUCCCCACUCCAGGGGUCGUCCCAGAGAAGUGGGCAGCUCCCCCAGCCGU